rnacentral:rRNA from 1 species
UUCGGCCUACGGGAGGCAGCAGUGAGGAAUAUUGGUCAAUGGUCGGGAGACUGAACCAGCCAACCGCGUGAGGGAUGAAGGUACAGAGUAUCGUAAACCUCUUUUGUCAGGGAACAAAGGCGGGGACGCGUCCCCGGAUGAGUGUACCUGAAGAAAAAGCAUCGGCUAACUCCGUGCCAGCAGCCGCGGUAAUACGGAGGAUGCGAGCGUUAUCCGGAUUUAUUGGGUUUAAAGGGUGCGCAGGCGGUCUUUUAAGUCAGCGGUCAAAGCCCGGGGCUCAACCCCCGCCCGCCGUUCAAACUGCC